GUGCUUAUGCUAAGGUGCAUCUAGUGCAGAUAGUGACAUAGACUAGCACCUACUGCCCUGAGUGCUCCUUCUGGCAUAAGGGCCUGGG
ensembl:miRNA MIR18A microRNA 18a